GAAAAGAACUUUGAAAAGAGAGUAAAAUAGUACGUGAAAUUGUUGAAAGGGAAACGAUUGAAGUCAGUCGUACCGACGAGAAAUCAACUUAUAGUGUGCGAACUUGUGGGCGUGCGUGAGUUUCGGCCUCGCUGUUUGCAUGUUUGUACGCUUUAGGUGUACUUUUUCGUAUGGUAGGCCAACGUCAGUUUCGAUCAUCAUAAAAUGACCGGCGGAAUGUAGCUUCGACCUCGGUUGAAGUGUUAUAGCCUCUGGUAGAUGUGGUGAUUGGGACUGAGGAUUGCAACGAAUAUCCUUUGGGCUAUCCGUCUGAUCUCUGAAAGUUGCUCAGGUGCUGAAAGCGUGCUUACGGUCAUCUAAGUUAACGGUCAAUAGGUUAGAACGUGAUUACAUUCGUUAA
rnacentral:rRNA from 1 species